UGGGUUUAAAGGGAGCGUAGGCGGGAGGUCAAGUCAGCUGUGAAAUGUAUCUGCUUAACGGGUACACUGCAGUUGAAACUGGUUUUCUUGAGUGCGUAAGAGGCAGGCGGAAUUCGUUGUGUAGCGGUGAAAUGCUUAGAUAUGACGAGGAACUCCUAUUGCGAAGGCAGCUUGCUGGGUCGUUACUGACGCUGAUGCUCGAAGGUGCGGGGAUCAAACAGGAUUAGAUACCCUGGUAGUCCGCACAGUAAACUAUGGAUACUCUCUGCCGGCGAUACAUUGUCGGUGGCCAAGCGAAAGCGUUAAGUAUCCCACCUGGGGAGUACGUUCGCAAGAAUGAAACUCAAAGGAAUUGACGGGGGCCCGCACAAGCGGAGGAACAUGUGGUUUAAUUCGAUGAUACGCGAGGAACCUUACCCGGGUUUGAAUUGCUGAUGGCGGUAUUUGGAGACAGAUACUUCCCUUCGGGGCGUCAGUGAAGGUGCUGCAUGGUUGUCGUCAGCUCGUGCCGUGAGGUGUCGGCUUAAGUGCCAUAACGAGCGCAACCCUUGCCGUUAGUUGCCAUCGGGUCAUGCCGGGCACUCUAUUGGGACUGCCAUCGUAAGAUGUGAGGAAGGUGGGGAUGACGUCAAAUCAGCACGGCCCUUAUGUCCGGGGCGACACACGUGUUACAAUGGGGGGUACAGUGGGAAGCUACCUGGCGACAGGUUGCGGAUCCCCAAAUCCUUUCUCAGUUCGGAUCGGAGUCUGUAACUCGACUCCGUGAAGUUGGAUUCGCUAGUAAUCGCGCAUCAGCCAUGGCGCG
rnacentral:rRNA from 1 species